AAAAACUGCAAAAUUUCCUUAAAUGUACUCUUUUAGGGGCAGCAACCCAACAACGGGUUGUCUGUUUUGUCUGAAAAUUUCACGGCAGAUAGAUCUUGACCUGAUUAACAAUUUAUUCCUGUCAGAUUUGCUCUAAAUGCUUUGGUUUCAGAAAUAUAAGCCAAAAUCUACACUUCACUCCCAUGUACUAUUUUUAGCCAUGGGGGCCAUCUUGGUUGGUUGGCAGGGUCACGCCACAUAUUUUUUAAACGAGAUACCCCAAUAAUGAUUUUUGCCAAGUUUGGUUAAAUUUGGCCCAGUAGUUUCAGAGGAGAAGAUGUUUGUAAAAGUUUACGGACGAUGGAUGCAAAGUGAUGAGAAAAGCUCACUUGACCUUUCAGGUCAGGUGAGCUAAAAAUGUGUGAAAUUGACUGACAUCUUCUUUAAGAUGUUUAUAAAUAAAUGAGAGCGAAAAAUAAUGAUGAGGGUUAUAUAGUGAGAUUAAGAAGGAGAAACAUGAAAUAAACAAAAAUUCAUAAUCUAAUCUUGCACCAUCUUAUUUUACACAUUAAACACAAAACAGAAAAUA
rnacentral:lncRNA from 1 species